rnacentral:rRNA from 1 species
AUUUGAAAUCUCCGUUGCUCUGCAACGGCGAGUUGUAAUUUCGAGAAGCGCUUUCUCGGCGGAUCGGGCCCGCCUAAGUUGCUUGGAACAGCACGUCACAGAGGGUGACAACCCCGUCUGUGGCGGGCCCCGGCCGCUCACGAUGUGCUUUCGAAGAGUCGGGUUGUUUGGGAAUGCAGCCCAAAACGGGUGGUAAACUCCAUCUAAAGCUAAAUAUCGGCGCGAGACCGAUAGCGAACAAGUACCGUGAGGGAAAGAUGAAAAGAACUUUGAAAAGAGAGUUAAAAAGUACGUGAAACCGUCGAAAGGGAAACGAAUGGAACUAGCAAUGCGCCCGGCGAGAUUCAGCCGGCCGGUCUCGGGCGUGGCGGAGGUUGGCGGAUUCGAAUGGACCGCUGCCUCGGGCGACUCGUGUUCCGGACGUCGCACUUCUCUCGGGCGCGCGUCAACGUGGGUCGGUCGUGGGUUUGAAAGGUUCCGGUAAGGUAGGCGCGGGCUUUCUCCUUUCUCGGAGGGGGAUGGCACCGUUUCUUUAGAGACCGGUUCGCUUCUCGGCCCGCGGUCGACCGAGGUGGUGGCAGCGCAUGCCUCUUCGUGCUGGCUAGGGUCCCGCCCCUCCGGUCGGUGCGAGACGCGGUGGACUGCUCGCAGUGCUCCGCGACCCGCGCCGGUCGUUGGAACGGUGACUUCGUACUAUGCGCUUAGGACGUUGGCGGUCACACGGUUCCAUCCGACCCGUCUUGAAACACGGACCAAGGAGUCUAACAUGUGCGCGAGUCUUUGGGUGCGCGAAACCCCGAGGCGUAAUGAAAGUGAAAGCGGCUCCGGCCGCCGAGGUGAGACCCCGUCUCCCGCCCGGGAGGCGGGCGCAUCAUCGACCGACCUAUUCUACUCUUAGGAAGGUUUGAGUAAGA